CCUCAUUGAAAUGGGGAGAAUACACGGUGUAAUUCCUUGGUCGAUGUAAGGACCUUAAAGGCUCGAACAAAUAGCUACAAGUCAAUUCUCGUGCUGGAAGGGCGUUUGUCACCAGGGAUUACCUUCGGCCAAUUGAGUAUGGGAGAACCUGAAGCUCCGUUUUUCAACCGUUUUCCGUCUAUUUUUGACAUUUUCAGCUCUGCAAGUGUUCCCGUAAGACCCAGAGCCAAGUCGGGCACCAUGAUCUGCUACCUUUAUUAUUUCUUUAAGAAACUCCUCCAGUUUCCCACGAACGAAAAUGGUUCUUUCUCCGUUUCUCAUAUUGUGGUACGUUUGGUUAUCCUCAGUCUCGCCCCCUUCAACAGCAGCAACAGUUUCGGACCGCUUGACGCAGAACCAGGUGCUUGAAGAUGGGCAAACAUUGGUCUCCUCUGGACAGCGCUUUGAGCUCGGUUUCUUUAGCAGAGGCAAUUCUAGCCACAGGUACUUGGGCAUUUGGUACAAGAAUAUCACUCUCACUGUGGUCUGGGUCGCCAACAGAAACAAGUAUAUCAGUGGCCAAUCAGGGUCACUGUCAAUGGGUUCAAAUGGAUUCUCACUUUUGCUUAAUAAUUCGGAGAAACUUUGGUCUGUCAAUACCACCAGGGUGUUAGAGAGCCCCAUUUUGCAGCUCUUGGACAACGGCAAUCUUGUUUUGAAAGAGGAAAACAAUCCUGAUCUGGAAGGGUAUGUCUGGCAAAGUUUCGAUGAUAUAACCGACACCUUGUUGCCAGGUAUGAAGCUUGGUUGGAACCUUAAAACCGGCCUGUACCGGAAUAUGACAUCAUGGUUAUCAGCUGAUGACCCAUCUGCCGGAGACUACACUUUUAGCCUAGACUCCCCUGAGACACCUCAGCUGGUGCUCAUCAAAGGGACCCAGAAGAAAUACAGGUGGGGUCCGUGGGAUGGAGUCAGGUUCAGUGGCAGCAAUGAGCUGAGGUCCAACCCUGUGUUUACACCCAUGUUCAAUUCAAGCCGUGAAGAAGUUUAUUAUACAUUCGAGGUGAUAGACCAGGAGUCACUUUUGUCAAGGUUUGUGGUGACUCAAGACGGCUGGAUUCAGUACCUAACAUGGAGUAAGAGUAGCAAUGAGUGGGUUGCGAUGGUGACUCUUCAGAGGGACAGUUGUGAUAGGUAUGAGACAUGUGGGCCCUAUGGGAAUUGUUACAGUGAUGGCCCGAAAUGCAAUUGUUUGAAAGGUUUUACGCCAAAGUCUCCGGAGGACUGGUCGAGGAUUAUUUGGUCAGGCGGGUGUGUGAGGAGGUGGGAGUUAGAAUGUGAAAAUGGAGAUGGGUUCGUCAAGUAUGGAGGAAUGAAGUUGCCUGAUUAUUCGCAUUUGGUAGAGAGUAGGAAUUUGAGCCUUGAGAUUUGUGAGGCUGAGUGUUUGAGGAAUUGUUCGUGUAUGGCAUUUACUUUGAUAGAUAUCCAUGGAAGUGGGGGCGACUGUGUGAUGUGGUUUGGUGAUUUGGUUGAUAUGAAACAUUUUCCCAGUGGUGGGGAUGAUCUCUAUAUACGAAUGGCGAAAAAGGAACUAGAGUCAAUUGCUGAUGCUAGGAGGAAUAAACGAGUAAGGGUGAUUGUCACCGUUGUCAUUUGUGUGGCUACUGGGAUGCUUCUAUGUGGUGUUAUUAGCUGGUGUACUAUUCGAAUAAGAAAAGCAAAGAGAAGAGCUGCAUGCUUAAACCAUCCCCAUAGAUAUUUAAUGGAAGAAACUCAGGAGGAAGACCUUGAGCUUGCUCUUUUUAAUCUGAAGACUGUUUUGGCUGCUACUGACGAGUUCUCUUUUAGAAAUAAGAUUGGGCAGGGUGGCUUUGGUCCUGUCUACAAGGGUGUAUUACCGAGCAAACAAGAAAUUGCAGUUAAGAGGCUCUCUCGGGACUCGGGGCAGGGUCUUAGAGAGUUUAAGAAUGAAGUUAUUUUGAUUUCAAAGCUUCAACACCGUAAUCUUGUAAAGCUUUUGGGAUGCUGCGUUCAUGGAGAUGAAAGGAUGCUAAUCUAUGAGUACCUUCCCAACAAAAGCUUGGACUACUUUCUCUUUGAUCAGACUAGAAAGAAAUUACUGGCUUGGAAGAAGCGCUUUGGCAUUAUUUUGGGGAUAGCACGAGGACUCCUUUAUCUCCAUCAAGACUCCAGGCUAAGAAUCAUCCAUAGGGAUCUCAAAGCAAGCAACAUCUUACUAGAUAGUGAGAUGAACCCCAAAAUCUCUGAUUUUGGACUUGCAAGAAUUUUUGGAGCAGACCAGACACAAGAGAUGACCAAGAGAGUAAUGGGAACAUAUGGCUACAUGUCACCAGAAUAUGCAAUGAGUGGACACUUUUCAGUGAAAUCAGAUGUAUUUAGCUUUGGUGUGUUAGUGUUGGAGGUGAUAAGCGGAAAGAAAAACUGGGGAUUUUGGCACCCUGACCAUGACCUCAACUUGAUUGGACAUGCAUGGAAUUUGUGGAUUAAAGGGAAUCCAUUGGAACUCGUGGAGGCACUGAUGGACGACUCAUAUUCUGUGGAUGAAGUUUUAAGAUAUAUCCAAGUGGGUCUUUUGUGUGUACAGCAAAGGGUGGAAGACAGGCCAACUAUGUCAUCGGUGUUAUUAAUGUUGGCAAAUGAGAAUGCAAUGGUGCCUCAACCCAAGGAACCUGGUUUUUAUACUGAAGUUUCUUCUAUCGGAAUGGAUACAUUGUCGAGUGGGAAAAAUCGUCAUACUACUACGAAUGAGGUAUCUGUUACAAUGUUUGAUGGACGAUAGACGUUUUGGUUUUGAUAUUUAAAAAUCUUAUAGAGUUUGUAUAAAUUGUACAGUUCUCCACACAGGAAUUAAAUUAAACUACAAAAUAAUUUCCAGAAUUUAUGAACGACCAGACAGAAAGUUCACAGAUGUAGCUCUAGAGGGUUACUUGAGGAAUAAGGACAGGUGCAACUUGAGGAUUGGCAAUGGAGACCUAUUCCCAUUAAGUUUAUGAUUUAUUGUAAAAUUUAGGAUAUUUAAUCAUUUUGGGAUACCAACAAUUUGUGGCUUAUUUUAUAAAGAGGAGAUGAAUAGAUCUUGGUAUUUAAUA